AACGAACGCUGGCGGCAUGCCUAACACAUGCAAGUCGAACGGAUGGUCGCAAGACCAUUAGUGGCGGACGGGUGCGUAACGCGCGGGAACCUGCCUUGAAGUUCGGAAUAACUGCGGGAAACUGCAGCUAAUACCGGAUGUGGCCUGUGGGCCAAAGGGGAAACUCGCUUCAAGAGGGCCCGCGUCCGAUUAGCUAGUUGGCGGGUAACGGCCCGACCAAGGCGAUGAUCGGUAGCUGGCUGAGAGGACGACCAGCCACACUGGAAC
rnacentral:rRNA from 1 species